rnacentral:rRNA from 1 species
AGAGUUUGAUCAUGGCUCAGGAUGAACGCUAGCGGCAGGCCUAACACAUGCAAGUCGAGGGGCAGCAUAGAUAGUAGCAAUAUUAUUUGAUGGCGACCGGCGCACGGGUGCGUAACACGUAUGCAACCUACCUUAUUCAGGAGGAUAACCCCGAGAAAUCGGGGCUAAUAUUCCAUAAUUUCAUUGUAUGGCAUCAUAUGAUGAAUAAAGCUGAGGCGGAAUAAGAUGGGCAUGCGUCCAAUUAGUUAGUUGGUGAGGUAAUGGCUCACCAAGACUUCGAUUGGUAGGGGUUCUGAGAGGAUGAUCCCCCACACUGGUACUGAGACACGGACCAGACUCCUACGGGAGGCAGCAGUGAGGAAUAUUGCGCAAUGGACGAAAGUCUGACGCAGCCAUGCCGCGUGCAGGAUGACUGCCCUAUGGGUUGUAAACUGCUUUUGUACGGGAAUAAACCCUUCUACGUGUAGGAGGCUGAAGGUACCGUAAGAAUAAGCACCGGCUAACUCCGUGCCAGCAGCCGCGGUAAUACGGAGGGUGCAAGCGUUAUCCGGAUUUAUUGGGUUUAAAGGGUCCGCAGGCGGAUCGUUAAGUCAGUGGUGAAAGCCCACAGCUCAACUGUGGAAUUGCCAUUGAUACUGGCGGUCUUGAGUAUAUAUGAAGUUGGCGGAAUGUGUGGUGUACCGGU